UACGUAGGAGGCAAACGUUGUCCGGAUUUACUGGGUAUAAAGGGUGCUCAGGCGGUCUUGUAAGUCAGUGGUGAAAUCCCGGAGCUCAACUCCGGAACUGCCUUUGAUACUGCAAGGCUUGAGUAUGGAAGAGGUGGAUGGAAUUUCUGGUGUAGCAGUGAAAUGCGUAGAUAUCAGAAAGAACACCAGUGGCGAAGGCGGUCUACUGGUCCAUUACUGACGCUAAAGCACGAAAGCAUGGGGAGCAAACAGG
rnacentral:rRNA from 1 species